rnacentral:lncRNA from 1 species
CGAAUUUCAUUUAUAACCUAUAUACUUUCAAAUCAUGCAAUAAACUUCCAAGUCUUAUAAAGAAUAUUUUUUUGUUAUGGCUCAAGAAACUGGGAAAAUCAACAAACAACAAGAAACCACGCAUAAAGACUUGACAACACAUGCAUUGACUCCACUAACACCAAUUAAACUAAAAAUUGAUAAAAUCCAAAUAACCAUCAAAUAAACUAGAAAAGAAAUAAAUCUAACUAAAAAGAAAUAAAAAGAAAGUAGUAAAGU